ensembl:lncRNA
GCCGUGUUCCACAUAAAAUCAGUUCGAGGACAGUAAGCACAACCAGAAUUCAUACACAAGGCACACUGUCGAUUUUUGAGAAAAUUAAAGGAAAUUAAGUGCGCGUUAUAGUGUAGAAAAUACAGUAUAUAAUGUUUUUCAUAUUUUUAUGGGAUCCUAAAUAUUUUCAACAAUUUAUUACAUUGGAAAUAAAACAAAUUAUACAAUUAUUUUAGAAAUUGCUUUAAAAUAUUUUAAUUGUGUUAACUAUGUUAAUAUUAAAUAUUUCAUUAAAAACGAAUAUAACAUUACUGAUAAAUGUGGGUUUGGUUUGUUUUCUGUCCUCUGUGCGUCCUGAGGUGGAACUCACUCUCUGAUGAGUCUGCAGACGUUGUCGUGGUACGACAGUUUCAGUGAGUCCAUGACCAGGAGGCACGGCCUGCAAACAAUGACAGUGUUACACAACCAUGGAAGGAAACUGGACAAACUGCAAAUAAUACAAAAAAUAAAAAUAAAAAAUAAAAAAAUGAAAACGGUCCACAAAUAUAAAAAAACUGAACAAAAAAGGAAUAAAAACUGGGGAAAAAAUGGAAAUCUGCAUGAAAUGUCAUAAAAGUAAUGAGAAAAAGCAAAUAAACUCAAGAAAAAUGAAGAAGAAAAACAUGAAAAGAAACAUCAUUGACAUGUGUCUGGUAAAAUAAGGAACAGAAACCUCCGUGAUUGAAACGAAAUGAUGUAUAAACUUGAUAAAAUCUGUCAUAUGUGCAGAAAAAGUGACAAGUUAAAUAAAAAAAACAAAACUAGAAUAAAAUCUGAUCAUUUCUGAUUGAUUUCGAUGUAAAAUCUAAUGUGGGUGAACUCUGACCUCUUUAAGACUCUGUCCUUCUUCCAGCCCUGCUCACUGGACUCCUGCAAACACACAACACAGUUACUCAAACCCAGGAUUUUAAAACAAUAACGGAGAAAAACAUCUCAGUGAUUGUAAAGAACGCUGCAUCUCCUCCUCUUCAGCAGCAUCAACUAACCAUCACAUUUCACAUUCAACACAAAGGUCAGCCCAUGUUUUCCCAAACAGAUCUCACUAGAAGAUUCAACACUGAACUGAUCAUCUGAGCCAAAUAAACUGUGUGAACUAAUGAAUGUGCAGCGUGAAAUCUCAGAGGAUCAGUUUUACAUAAAUAUAAAUAAACAGUGUCGUCACAGCUGCAUGAAACGAGGUGGAAACCCUCCACAGACUGAGG